AGCGUGACCCCCCUAAGGAGUCACAUGGGCCGACCUGGGGCGGGGACGGAAAGAGUAGAAGAACUCCUUCCGGGUCACUGUCGAGAGUCUCAACCUGGGGCGGGAACUUCUUUACCCUUUCCUGUAACUUAAAGGCUGCACCGACUUGUGGUGCUUGAGAUUUGACGAUGAGUUCCCAGAAAGGAAACGUGACUCGGUCCCGGCCUCAGAAGCACCAGAAUACGUUCACCUUCAAAAAUGACAAGUUUGAUAAGAGUGUUCAGACCAAGAAAAUUAAUGCAAAACUUCAUGAUGGAGUAUGUCAGCGCUGCAAAGAAGUCCUUGAAUGGCAUGUAAAAUACAGCAAAUAUAAGCCACUGUCAAAGCCUAAGAAAUAUGUUAAAUGUUUACAAAAGACAGUGAAGGACUCUUACUACAUAAUGUGUAGACCAUGUGCCUGUGAACUUGAAGUUUGUGCAAAAUGUGGAAAAAAAGAAGAGAUCGUUAUUCCGUUUAAUAAAGAACCAGAAACUUCAGACAAUACUGAAAAUGAAGGUUCUAACCAUAGAAGAAGCUGCAGACGGAAGGAAGACAGUGAUGAGGACUUAGAUGCUGAGUCUGACUCGGGUGGGGACAUGCAGGCCUGACAGCACAGAGCAAGUCCGAAGAGUCUGUUCCAAUAGGCAGAACUGGCUCAGGAGCAAUAUCGGUUACUUAUAACAUUUGAGUAACAGAAUCCUAAAGGUUUUCACAAUAACACUAAGCUGUAUAUACAAAAUAUGUGUGGGCAUACCAUGGCAUGUUGUAUAAGACCUAUAGAAGUUAAGAAAAACAUUAUCUAAUGUCAAAUUAUUCAGUGUUGAGAAUUGGUGAUUGUAUCAGAACUAUCUUAUGGAAAACUAAGAUGACUGGCUCAGAGUACAUAUCCAUAGCCUGACCUCGGGUAUGUGACUUCAUUAGCAAAAGCCCCCUUACAUCGUACAAAACAAAACAGUCUAUUUUUACACACACAUACAAGCAUGUGUAAUGAUUUU